GAUGAAGAACGCAGCGAAAUGCGAUAAGUAAUGCGAAUUGCAGAAUUCCGUGAGUCAUCGAAUCUUUGAACGCACAUUGCGCCCCCUGGUAUUCCGGGGGGCAUGCCUGUUCGAGCGUCAUUUCACCACUCAAGCCUCGCUUGGUAUUGGGCAACGCGGUCCGCCGCGUGCCUCAAAUCGACCGGCUGGGUCUUCUGUCCCCUAAGCGUUGUGGAAACUAUUCGCUAAAGGGUGCUCGGGAGGCUACGCCGUAAAACAAACCCAUUUCUAAGGUUGACCUCGGAUCAGGUAGGGAUACCCGCUGAACUUAAGCAUAUCAAUAAGCGGAGGA
rnacentral:misc_RNA from 1 species